AUCUCAGCACUGCUUUAGCUCAUAGAUUUUCAUACGUUCUUCAGCAGUCAGCAAUUUUGGUUUUGAUUUCUUCUUUGACCAAAGAUGUGUUUGAGAGAGCUUUUUGAUUUCUCACUGGCAGUUUCUGUUUUUACUUCCCAGAUAAUAUUAUUCCUUACUAGUUUUAUUGGUUUUUGUUCAGAGAAUGUUGUCUUUUCUAUCUACUUUUUUGGAGUUUUACUUAUAAAUUUAUUAAUUUGCUUUGUGACUAAAUAUAUGAGUGAUUUUUGUGAAUGUUCCAUGAGUGUUUGUAAAGGACAUGCAUUUUAUUUUUCAGGUUUUAGUGGGGUUUUGUGUGUGUUGUGUGUGUGUGUGUCUUAACUUAGUUUUUGUUCACUUGAUCAAAGAAAAGUGAAAUAAAAUCUCCAAUAUUAAUGUCUAUCUGUCUAAUUCUCCUUGCAUUUCCUAGUCUUCUCUUUAUGAAUGUUGAUACGUUAUUUGGUAUACAGACUUUGUGACUGUUAGAGCUUCCUUCUAUAUUAUACCCUUUUAGAUAGUUUGUCUUGUUAAAUGCUUUUGAUUGGAUUCAGGGCAGGCCACCUCAAGAUGCACCACCCUGGUAUGUGAAUUAUUUCGAGCUGAAGACAAUAAAGCCUCAGAAGACUCACGAAGAACGUUUGACCUUCCCCUAAUCUACCUAAAAGAAUUUAACGUGGAAGUUCGGCGACUUGGAUGGGAUAACAUUUCACUGACUGGACUCUGCUCGCUCCUGGCCUACUUCAGCUGAGAGAUCCUGGACCCCUGACAAGAGCCGGCAGGAGACACAGGAAUCUCUAUAACCCUGUUUGGGAAUAUGCUGAGGUGAAAGCUGUUGCCAAGGGUCAUCUUGGAAGCCAAAAAGCUGCAAAUUUGGUGGUUGUGGGUGGAGCAGUUAAGAGCCAUUAGGGUGCUCGCCACCUCAAGAAGUCUCCCAUGAAAGGAUGAGUUGGUCAUGGAAUGGGGUGGAUGACACAGAUCCCCCUGUCAACUUCAAGAAUAUGUCUGUGCAAUGACAAGAGAGAUUCACGGAAAGGACUUUGACAUUUACUCUGGAAUGCAGCUUUCUGAUAAAGUUUCAGAUUGUAAAACGGAAUUGGGUAAGAAACUACAGAACUCUAAUGGAGAAACUGAUGACUUCAUGAAACUGCUAAGAAAAGAGCAAGAUCAAAAGUUGAUUAUAUGGGGGCUGGCCCCAUGGCUGAGUGGUUAGGUUCAUGUGCUCCACUUCAGUGGCCCAGGGUUUCACCACUUAAGAUCCUGGGUGUGGACCUGGCACUGCUCAUCAAGCCAUGCUGAGGUGGCAUCCCACAUAGCAGAGCCAGAAGGACCUAUAACUAGAAUACACAACAAUGUACUGGGGGGUUUUGAGGAGAAGAAAAAAAAAACGAAAAGAAGAUUGGCAACAGAUGUUAGCUCAGGUGCCAAUCUUUAACAAAAAAAGAGUUGGUAUAUAUGAGACUGGAAGAACUGAUGAAGAUGAUUAUAAAUCUUAUGACUUUUCAUUUGAAAUGUUGCUGAUUUUUUUAAUGUUUUGUUUUUUUCAGAUUUAAGGAAAUGUUUUUCUCUUUUCUCUUAAGCUAUGACUUAUAGAAAUUUGGUAAAUUAUACUUUUAUAAACAGAAUUGAAACAUUUGUCUUUUUUCUCCCUAACUGAUCCCUCCAGAAUUUGGAAACUCUUAGUGAGUAAGUAUUGUUAUUUUCAGGGCAAUAUAGUUAUGUGCAUAAGUUCAGUUAGAAUCUGUUCUCCUGGGGCCAGCUGGUGGCACAGCAGUUAAGUUUGCACAUUCCAGUUUGGCAGCCUGGGGUUCACCGGUUCAGAUCCAGGGUGCGGACAUGGCACCACUUGGUAUGCCGUGCUGUGCUAGGCGUCCCACAUAUAAAGUAGAGAAAGAUGGGCAUGGGUGUUAGCCCAAGGCCAGUCUUCCUCAGCAAAAAUAAAGAGGAGGAUUGGCAGCAGAUGUUAGCUCAGGCCUAAUCUUCCUCAAAAAAAUUUUUUUUAAAAAUCUGUUCUUCUUAUAACAGGACACAAUUGGAAAUAUUGGUUAUAUUACCAAAGCUUUGACUGGAAUGUCAUAUUUGAGAGAAACAUACAUAGACUCAGAUAUGACGAGACAGCUUUUGAAAAACAAAGGUUGGACUUUAUGAAAUAAAGCCACCCAGAAAUAUUGGCCUGGUACCUUGUUUACAGGGUUCCCAGCAUCCUUACUGCGUAUGUAAAGAAGGCCACUUAUCUGGCAGGUGCAAAGGAACCCCAAUAUUUUGGGAAACCUCAAAAGAAGAGAGAACUUCACUCAAGCCUGUAGGUAUUGCAGGCAAAGUCUGAGGACAAAGUCCUUGCCUUGGCUUUCCUGGCUUUGAGAGGCCUUUAAAGUUCAAUCUGAGAUUCCUUAUAAAAAAGUUCCAGCAAAGCAGGUUUAAAGAAGCCAUUAUGAUUGAUUGCUGUUCUUGCUGCACCUAUGUAAAUAAUUUGGCCAAAUUUAUUGAAACUAGACUUAUUUUACAAACCAAUCUUAAUUUGGCUAUCUUUGGUAAAAAGGAGGGUGAUUUUAGAGAGAGAAAUUAUGUCUCAGUAGAAACUAUAGUACAGAUUUGUGGAUAUUAGAUCCUAGUUCUGUUAAUUGUCUUUGAGGUUUUUGUUUUCUACCUGUAAACUGGACUGGAUCCUGAAUUCUUCUGGUCUCCUGAAAUAUCUAACUACAAAUCUCCAAACUAACGUUUUCAAUUCCUUUUCCAUCAUUUUUAUUUGAAAUCAUUGAGAAUUGAAAACACCCUUACUCCUAAAGCCCUGCAAACUGAAGCUGGAUAACUUCUUAUAAACUUUGUAAAGAUCACCAUGAUAGCAGGUGUGUUGCUAUGUAAGCCACUCAAAAGGAUACCUGAAAACUCAAUGACAUCAUCAGAAACAUUUCAAGCUGCAAAAGAUGCUUCAACCCUGAUGUCUAAAAAUCUUCUUGACUGGUUGCCCCCUGGGCUCAAAAACUGCUUUAUAAUUUGCUCCAACCAUUAACCUUGUUUUUCUUUUUGUUUCCAUGGAAAUGCUUCUUAUUAAAUACCUGAUUGUUUGCUUCCACAAUAUAGGCCUAACUUUGGGAGCACAUCUGCAUCACCACCUUCUAAAAUGAAUUUAACUGGACUGACCUAUUAUCAGAACUAAGAAAUAUGUUCAGUGAGAUGGAACAAUCUACCUGCUCAGCUUUUGAUACGUGAAACUUCCAGAGAAGUUUCAGAGGAGGGAUCUGAUGGGGUUCAGGUCAGGCUGCCCCAAGGGGUACCACUCUGGUAUGCAAAUUAUUUCAAGCUAAAGACAAUAAUGUCUCAGAAGACUCAGAAGAACAUUUGACCUUCCCUCAAACUGCCUAAAAGAAUUUAACAUAGAAGGCCUGUUUCACGGGCCAGCCCAGUGGCAUAGUGGUUAACUUUGUGCACUUUGGGCAGCCCAGGGUUUGUGGGUUUGGAUCCUGGGUGCAGACCUAUACACUGCUCAUCAAGCCAUGCUGUGGCAGUGUCCUAUAUACAAAAUAGAGGAAGAUUGACAUCAGAUGUUAGAACAGGGCCAAUCUUUCUUAAAAAAAAAAAAAAAAAGAAAGAAAGAAAGAAAGGAGGCCUGUUCCAGGAUGGAGCUAAUACCAUAACAUAGCUAUAGUAUAAUGUAAAAUAGGUGUAAUAAAAAGGCACCAACAAACCCAUUUUUUAGCCAGAAAAACUUGUUUAAGAAACAUCUGCAUUUCCAUCUCCAUGUAAAUUGUCUUCCUCUUCUCUAAAAUCCCAAAUCACUACCCCCAACAUCCUCCUUGUCUUUAGCUGAAGAUAUGUAAACUAAGAGCUUUGGCCAUGUGGCCGUGUUACCCAGUUUCCUGGGUUUCUUCCAUGUAUACGUGUUAUGAAGCUUUGUUUGACUUUCUCUUGUUAUUCUGUCUCGUGUCACUUUAAUUCUUAGGUCAGCCAGAAGGACCUAGAGUGGGUAAAGGAAUUGUCUUCCUCUCCUACAGUUUUGACUUUGAAUUCUGUCUUAUCUAAUAUUUAGACUGUGGUUCCCUUUUGCAUUUUCCUAGUGCUCCUGUGCCCUUUCUUUCAUUUUCAACCUUUCUUAGUUACUGUUUGAGAUGUGUCUCUUGUUUAUGUCAUAUAAUUGGUAUGUUUUAUUUUGUGAUUCAAUCGGAAAAUCUAUUUUCUUUUAAUAGAUGAAUUUAGCCAAUUUCUUUUUCUUGCUAUGACAAAUAUAUUUGGUCAUAGUUCUGCUAUUAUACUUUACAAACAUUUUUAUAACUUUUUUUCUUCUUCUUCUCUCCAAAGCCCUCCAGUACAUAGUUGUAUAUUCUAGUGGGUCCUUCUGGUUGUGCUAUGUGGGAUGCUGCCCCAGCGUGGCUUGAUGAGUGGUGCCAUGUCCACACCAAGGAUCCAAACCGGUGAAACCCUGGGCCGCUGAAGUGGAGCGCAUGAACUUAACCACUUGACCACAGGGCUGGCCUCAACAUUUUUUAAAACGUGAUUAAAACUUUUGAAAUAGCUUUUUGUUGAUAGCUUAAAAAUAAACUUUUACUAUAUGAACUAUUUUCUUCAUGAGUGUAUGGGUAUAUUUGGAAGACUUCUAUUUUAGAUAUAGUAGUUAUUUUUGUAAGCACAACUUUAUAUACUAUACCUUGUUCUGUCUUUAUUAGACAGUAUCUAUUGACUCCCUACUCUGAGCAAUAUUGAAGUAAAUUUAUAUUCAAUUCUUUCCUGCCCCCAUCUCCAUUGUCUUCCCACCUUCCAGGUUCCAUGUAAUUGUAUUCUUGUAUUCCAUAGUAUCUACACAUAGUAGCCACAGCAUUGUAUUCCAUAGUGUUUGCAUUUAUAUCUUUAAAUAUACUUAUACUUCUAUUACUUGAUUUAUCAGCUUUUCAUUUCUUUUUAUGAAAUUGGCAUGGUCCCUCUACUUUUCAUCUUGACUCCUCCUUUUUUCUCAACUAUUAUAAUAAAAUUUAUGCAUUUCUAGGUUUAUAAUAUUUUCAUUCCAUUCUAUAAUAAUAAAUUUUCACAUUUUAAAAAGCCCCAGGCCUCAAAUAAAAUAAAAUGGCUUUCAUAUUCUCUAUGAGU
ensembl:lncRNA